UUUCAUUUGAAUAACAGAAAAUCCUUUGAAGCAAAUGUCACAAGGUAAAAGUCAUAUUGGUUUUUAAGCAUAUACAACUUGGGAUAGUUAGUUAAGCAUUGACCCGGAACAGGGGUGAGAAACGGGCAGUAUUUAAGAGCAUGUGCAGCCCUCUCAGAACUCAUUACAUGUCAACAUUCCGAUGUAACAAAGCCAGGAAUUUUCUUUUCGCAUUUGACCAUUUCCCUUUUAAGAGAUAUAGGUAUAUUUAGAAGAAAUUGAAGCCCAGAGAAGUUAACACCAAAAACUAUGAAGCUGAAGUUUGCAAAAUUUUGAAAAAAAAUGUUACAGCAAAUCUCAACUUACAAUUUUGGACUUUUAUGGAACUGAGUCAAAGUAGGUUGCAAAGAGAAAAUGUACAUGUGGAUUCAAUUGUAAAAUGUGUAAUAUAAUUUUUGAAUAAAA
rnacentral:lncRNA from 1 species